rnacentral:rRNA from 1 species
AGUGAACGCUGGCGGUAGGCCUAACACAUGCAAGUCGAACGGCAGCACAGUAAGAGCUUGCUCUUACGGGUGGCGAGUGGCGGACGGGUGAGGAAUACAUCGGAAUCUACUUUUUCGUGGGGGAUAACGUAGGGAAACUUACGCUAAUACCGCAUACGACCUACGGGUGAGAGCAGGGGAUCUUCGGACCUUGCGCGAUUGAAUGAGCCGAUGUCGGAUUAGCUAGUUGGCGGGGUAAAGGCCCACCAAGGCGACGAUCCGUAGCUGGUCUGAGAGGAAGAGGAGGAACACUGGAACUGAGACACGGACCAGGCUCCGACGGGAGGCAGAAGUAGGGAAGAGGGGUAAAGGGGCGUAGGCGUGAGCCAGCAACAGCGCGGGGGUGAGGAGGGUCUCUGUGUUGUAGAGCGCUUUUUUUUGUAAAGAAGAAAUGACAGGUGACACCUGUCUGUCCUGACGGGACCCAAAUAAAAAGGAAUGGCUAACCUCGUU